GACGAACGCUGGCGGCGCGCCUAACACAUGCAAGUCGAACGGAGCUUAGAGAGCUUGCUUUUUAAGCUUAGUGGCGAACGGGUGAGUAACGCGUGAGUAACCUGCCCUAGAGUGGGGGACAACAGUUGGAAACGACUGCUAAUACCGCAUAAGCCCACGGUACCGCAUGGUACUGAGGGAAAAGGAUUUAUUCGCUUUAGGAUGGACUCGCGUCCAAUUAGCUAGUUGGUGAGGUAACGGCCCACCAAGGCGACGAUUGGUAGCCGGACUGAGAGGUUGAACGGCCACAUUGGGACUGAGACACGGCCCAGACUCCUACGGGAGGCAGCAGUGGGGGAUAUUGCACAAUGGGGGAAACCCUGAUGCAGCGACGCCGCGUGGAGGAAGAAGGUUUUCGGAUUGUAAACUCCUGUCGUUAGGGACGAUAAUGACGGUACCUAACAAGAAAGCACCGGCUA
rnacentral:rRNA from 1 species